GUUUCCUAGGGAGGCAGCAGUAAGGAAUAUUGGUCAAUGGGCGGGAGCCUGAACCAGCCAAGUCGCGUGAGGGAAGACGGUCCUAUGGAUUGUAAACCUCUUUUGUCGGGGAGCAAAGCGAGUCACGUGUGACUCAUUGAGAGUACCCGAAGAAAAAGCAUCGGCUAACUCCGUGCCAGCAGCCGCGGUAAUACGGAGGAUGCGAGCGUUAUCCGGAUUUAUUGGGUUUAAAGGGUGCGCAGCCGGUCUGUUAAGUCAGCGGUCAAAGCCCGGGGCUCAACCCCGGCCCGCCGUUGAAACUGGCA
rnacentral:rRNA from 1 species